UUUAUAAUUGUUUUUUAAAAAUGGGGUGGAUUCACAAAAAAUGUGGGGUGGAGAUAUCAUUGCUCGUGUUUUUUCCUAAUAUUUUUAGCAUUUAUUACAAACUCCUACUUGAUGUCAAACCUUUUUAUUAUUGACUGGAAUAUUUUUUUUUAUCAAAAUUGAAAAGGAUAACACACUAUUAUGAAAACUAUAGGAAAAUAAAAGAUAAAAACUAACUUGAUUUGUAGCGCAGUUAUUUUAGUUGGAACUCAAAUACCGGAACUCAAAUACGGGGAACCUAAAAUUACUCAUGCAUGAAUAAUUCAAAUGUUAUGCAUAACAUCCAUGGAUCUUAAUUAAGCACAUAUUUGUAUAAGCAAGUAAAUAAAUUCUAACACAUCCAUUUUAAGUAUUAGGUCUGAUUAUAUAAUGUUUUUCAUGUGUGAAUUAGAAGGAUAAAAUGAUAUAACCCUAGAAAAAAAAUUGGGAUAAGCACCUAUUUUUUCCUGAUUUUUUUUCAUCGGGCUUGGACUUUGAGCCACCACUAGUCUUAAUUUACGCAGUUCACUGAUUAUUCGUUCCUAACCUAUAUGGGAUAUUUGUGGUGAUAUUGGACAAUAAUAAUAUUGACCAUGGGAAUCACAUGAUGAUCCUAAGGAACUUGUAACAGUCUUGAUACUUUAUGACAUGCAAAUAUUGUAAAAUUAAUCGUAAUUUUAGGAAUGCAAAUAUGGGGGAAAAAGUUCCUAAUUCAUUGUGGUUGAUCAUGUCUUUCUUAUAUAAACCGGGCCUUUUGAAUUAAAAAAAUCGUUCUAAAUUUUCCAAUCCAAAAUUUUAAAGUACGUAAAAGUAUGGAAAAAUUUUAAAAUUAUGCGGUUUUAAAGUUUUUUUUUUCAUAAUACUAUUAAAUCCCACACUUUUAAAGUUUUUCCGAUUUAUGUAUGUGUGUGUAUCUCAAGAGUGGGUGUUCUCUUUUUCUUAUGCAGACAUGCUAUUGAGUAAUAUAACUUUAUAAUUAAUUGAAAACUAACGUGAAGUGAAUAUUGAUUUUAUUAAAUCAUAUGUCUUAAUAACAUGUCGGCAUGAAAAAAAGAAUGAGAAUGCCUACACUUUGAGGAAGAUUAUAUAUAUA
rnacentral:lncRNA from 1 species